ACACUUUUAGUUUAAUGGUUAAAACCGUAGUCUUCGAAACUACUUAUACAGGUUCAAAUCCUGUAGAGUGUU
rnacentral:tRNA from 1 species